UAGGGAAUCUUCCACAAUGGGCGAAAGCCUGAUGGAGCAACGCCGCGUGUGUGAUGAAGGGUCUCGGCUCGUAAACACUGUUGUAAGAGAAGAAUGACAUUGAGAGUAACUGUUCAAUGUGUGACGGUAUCUUACCAGAAAGGAACGGCUAAAUACGUGCCA
rnacentral:rRNA from 1 species